AGCAGCCGGGCUGUGGGAAGAUGGGUGAGAGUCAGCUCUCUGAGUGCUUGGCGGCAGGCGGUCAGCUCAGCUGGUGGGAACAGCAGGACGGUGUGGACGUCAGCCUGGCACGGGGCAGGGGUGCCCCUCAGCAGAAUGGCAUGGGGGCUGUGGCAAGCUCCCCUCCAUCUCUGGUCCCUGGAGUCAGACUAGACCUUCGCCGCAUCCGGCUCGAAGGCUCGGAUGGAUGAUGGAUUGCCCGGCCCAUCUUCCCCGGGGGGUUGGAUCUGAGACCAUCAGCAUCCAGCAGCCGUGAGUGUGAUGGAUGAACCGAGGCCAGUCACCUAGUGGGGAAACGACAUCUCACAUUUAAAGAACACCAGGCGUUUCUACACAGCGGGGGAAGGAAAUCCGUCCUGAUUUUAAACUUUGGCACAGCUGUGAAACCGAGGGUAGUGAACUCUGAGGAGAGGACUCUUUUCUGUAAGUGGCCCUCCAAGAGCCGAAGUCCCGGUCCCGAGAGAUGCGUGUCAUGUGUGUGGCCUUGUGACAGAGCCGCUGGGGUUCUCUGUCUACUUCUGGAUCGUCCCCGUGUUGCUGGGUGGGCUCCCUGUUCCCCCACCCCAGGCCGUGCAGGCUGGCUUCGCAGUGGACUCGGCUGUGGGAGGUCCUGGCAGGGCGGGUGCUCCUUCCCCGCUUCCCCUACACCCCCGUGACUACAGCCCCAUCCCUGGCAUCAGCAUCCUUGGGAUCUUUGCCCCUCAAGCCCGUAACCUUGCUGGUCUCUGAGGCUGUACAGAAACCUGUUUCCUGCAGGGACAUACAUUUAACGUCCGUGAAAGCCUCAGACCCCCUGAGCACACCUGCCUAGCCGUGUUGUGGACGAACAAGGGCUGACGAAAUGCCUGUGGAGGCUGAUUUCACCGGAGUCAGGGGAAGUCAGUCUAAGCAAAGAGCAGGGGCACGGAUGAAAAUAACAGAACAGUGACCCAGGUAGGAACCGUGUGCCGGGGAGGCUGGGCCAAGCAUUUAUAGAAACUGCCCAAAGAGCAGAGCAGGGCGGGCGUUUCGGCCCAUUUUACAGACCAGGAAAACGGGCGGAGAGGCUGAGUGACUGCCCGAGGCGACACACAGCUCUCCCGCCCUGUUUGCUUACACACAUUCUUGGCCAUGCAGUGAAGGGAGUUCCCAGCAGUGUCCCCCGCCCACUCGCAUCCUAUUGCCCAGCUGAG
rnacentral:lncRNA from 1 species